CCUGAUUGGCUGCUUGCUUCUCUUCAGUCCCCUGAUCCUGAUUAGAUGCAAGGGUCAGCACGUUGCUCUGAAUGCGCUCAACACACAACAAACAGCACCAUUCACGGUGACAUUCGGAGAUGGACAACCUACACCCGAUGUUUAUAAUUUCUUACCUUCUUGUAAUGGAUACGCAUGGGAAUCUUCAACCCUUCGACUGGAGCAGACUACGGGCAGUAUUGUUUUGUUAGACACAACUAUCGACGGAUUUUUUUAUAUUUUUUUCCCCAUUAAUUCCCGACAUACUGUUCUGAGCACAUCGUAUUCUGGACUGUACCAUUGCAGAAUAGUGGAUUCAGGAAACUCUACAGAAACCUUUCAACUCAACAUUGUGGCGAAACAACACCGAACCACUGUCAUCUCUCCCACAAUGGUUUUCAGUUACACUGACAAGCAAUAUGAAAUUCCUUGUAAUACUUUGGGCUCACCAGGCAUGAGUGUCACUUGGACAUCCACUAUAAGUCUUACAACAAAGACAAUAAACACAACGAAUGGAGCAUCUCCAAAUGGACUGUUGGAGUAUGUCAAUUCCACUUUCAGUUUCACCGGGAAAGAUUCGGGUAUCAUGUUUAACAGGGCCCACCCAGUUGGCGCUAUGUUCAACUUGACCUGCACUACUACCUACCCGACCAGUUACAAAUGUAGGUUUGUAGAAGGAGGUCGACAGCCACAGCCCCCGAAAGGUGUACUGGACCGAUGUGAUAAAGCAGUUGCACCUUUGUCAACAACGUACACCAUCAGCCUGCGAGCUCCAUGUCCCCAGCUCAACGCAUCCCGUGGUUACGAAUACAAUGAUACGCUUUCCAAUGACCCUGGAACUGUUCUUGGCAUUUCGUGUCGUGUUGGCUUGACUAUGGCUAGUAGUACACGCAGCAUUCACACAAUAACAUGUCAGGAAAAUGGAAUGUGGACAAAUCUUCCAAACUGCACAGUUGUUAUGUGCACUGUGCCAACACUCAUGAAUGGCAUUGCGGAUGGGACAAUUGUGUCCUAUCUUCAGAGUGUGAACUACACGUGUAAUACUGGUUAUAGAAUGAAUGGUUCAGCAACAGCAAUGUGCAGUGCUGAUGGAACUCUACAAAUGCCUACUU